AACGAACGCUGGCGGCAGGCCUAACACAUGCAAGUCGAGCGAGGCAGCAAUGCCUAGCGGCGGACGGGUGAGUAACGCGUGGGAACGUACCCUUUGGUUCGGAAUAGCCCUGGGAAACUGGGAGUAAUACCGGAUACGGUCGAGAGACGAAAGAUUUAUCGCCGAAGGAUCGGCCCGCGUUGGAUUAGGUAGUUGGUGGGGUAAUGGCCUACCAAGCCGACGAUCCAUAGCUGGUUUGAGAGGAUGAUCAGCCACACUGGGACUGAGACACGGCCCAAACUCCUACGGGAGGCAGCAGUGGGGAAUAUUGGACAAUGGGCGCAAGCCUGAUCCAGCCAUGCCGCGUGAGUGAUGAAGGCCUUAGGGUUGUAAAGCUCUUUCACCGAUGAAGAUAAUGACGGUAGUCGGAGAAGAAGCCCCGGCUAACUUCGUGCCAGCCGCCGCAGUAA
rnacentral:rRNA from 1 species